rnacentral:rRNA from 1 species
UGGGGAAUUUUGGACAAUGGGGGAAACCCUGAUCCAGCCAUCCCGCGUGUGCGAUGAAGGCCUUCGGGUUGUAAAGCACUUUUGGCAGGAAAGAAACGUCAUGGGUUAAUACCCCGUGAAACUGACGGUACCUUCAGAAUAAGCACCGGCUAACUACGUGCCAGCAGCCGCGGUAAUACGUAGGGUGCAAGCGUUAAUCGGAAUUACUGGGCGUAAAGCGUGCGCAGGCGGUUCGGAAAGAAAGAUGUGAAAUCCCAGAGCUCAACUUUGUAACUGCAUUUUUAACUACCGGGCUAGAGUGUGUCAGAGGGAGGUCGAAUUCCGCGUGUAGCAGUGAAAUGCGUAGAUAUGCGGCGGAACACCGAUGGCGAAGGCAGCCUCCUGGGAUAACACUGACGCUCAUGCACGAAAGCGUGGGGAGCAAACAGG